GAGGAGGUGCGCCGGUUCAUGGGUCCCGGAGGGCCCAAGUGAGCCGCUCCCGGAAACGGAAUCUCACUCUGUUGCCCAGAAUGGAGUGCAGUGGCAUGAUCACAGCUCACUGCAGCCUCUACCUCUUGGGCUCCAACGAUCCUCCUGCCUCAGACUCCCAAGUCGCUGGGACCACAGUCAUGCAUCACCAUGCCUGGAUAAUUUUUAAAUUUUUUGUUAAGACAGGGUCUCGCUAUGUUGCUAGGCUGGCCUCGAACUCUUGGCCUCAAGCAAUCCUCCCGCCUCAGCCUCCCCAGGCACUGGGAUUACAGGUGUGAGCCACUGCACCCAGCCUGACACCCCUCUUUGGACCAGCAUGUACCCUCCCCAGUGCCCCCCAUUACUGACAUUUGCCUUGCUGGGACCCACCUAUUGGCUUUUGGAUUGAAUUGUUCAAGAAUAGAAGGGCGAGGAAGAGAGAAAACAGGGCGGGGGAGAGGUGGGAAGGAAAAGGGGAAGAGCCACAGAAACCUUCGGCAAGUUGGCUUUGGCUAUGGGCCAUCAGUUUCUCCCCUUAGCUUCCCGUAGUGUCAGGGAAAUACUACCAGGCACAGAGGAGCCACCUCAUCUUUUUGGAUUGUUGGGUCACUGUACUUCUCCAUGAGUUGCAAACCCUCUCUGCACUUAAUCUGUAGAACGAGCUUGACCAAUGGAGUUGUAAUGUUUGGAAUCAACUCAGUGUGGGUGA
rnacentral:lncRNA from 1 species